rnacentral:tRNA from 2 species
UCGCCGCGGGGCCCCACGGGAUCCGGUGCAGCCGUACGUCGCGGCCGCCUGCGGAGAGCUCAGUGACGCGGGCGAUGUUCCGCGCCUCGGCGGCCGC